AGCAAGUAGUCAUAGUUGUGAAAAGUAUUCAUUAUAUAUCUAUAGUCUAAAUUAAUUUUACUUUUGAUGAAAAAACUCUAAACAGGCAAGCUGCAAAAACAUCUACGCAACUGACUUAUUCGUAUACAAUAACUGAGGGAUUCACUUUAUCAGUUGGUAGACGGGGCUUCCCUCGUGACCUGCAGUAAUGUUAUCACUUAACCAGUAUUACAAAUACAGUCAAAACAUUGUCUUAUACUAAUUUGAAUCAUAUUACUUCGACAUUGAGUUUAUUAUACGUUUUAUUCGUUUCACAGACGCAAAUGUUUAUAUGGUAGACUUGCUAGAAUAUAUACCAGCGAUAUUCUGUAAUUCCUCACAACACUUAAAGCUCUCCAACAAUUCACAAGUGUCAAGGAAAUAUUUGAAAAUGAAUUUCUCAAAAACAUUUUUCUUCGUCUUCGCCUGCUUCUUAGCGCUUACCUCUGCAUCGCCAAAGUGGAAAAUAUUUAAGAAAAUUGAGCACAUGGGACAGAACAUUCGAGACGGAAUCAUCAAGGCUGGACCAGCGGUAGAAGUUGUCGGACAAGCCAGCUCGAUAUAUAAACAGGGAUGAAAUAAAUACUCAACUGAUGUGCCAAAUGUUAUUUUUAAGACUAUUUAAGUAUUAUUUUUUAAAUAAAUGUUUUAAGUAUU